UUUUUUUCUCUGCCAUUGUAAUUUAUUUUUUCAUUCAUUCUCUCUUAAGUCAAUCAAUCGAUUUGAAACAAUAUGGUUUCACUAAUUUGUUCUAACAAUGUAUGCGGCUCUUAUGACCGUGCUGGUAUCAAGAAUAUUUGUGGAAAGUGUUUCAUGGAAAGUCACAAACAAGAUUUUCAAAGACUCUUCAAACGUGAAGGUGAAGAUGAAAAGUAUCAUAAAUCAGAAGAAAUUGAAAGUCAAAUUGUGGAUAAUUUCAAUGUAUGCGCUACUAUGGCUACUAUAACUCUCAAUGACUCUCCGGACAUGAAGAUGAAUAUUAAGUAAAUUAAAAAGUAAAACAUAUUUCAUAGAUUAUUAUCCUAGAUUGAGAUUCAUAAUGUGUUAAAUUUUAUAUUGUUCAAAAAUUGUUUCUCUUUUUGCUAUGAAUAUAUUGUUCAAGAAUAGAAUGAGAUUCAAGAAUUGUUUCUCUUUUUGUUAUGAAUAUAUAUUUUUAUUUUUAUUAUGAGUUCAAA
rnacentral:lncRNA from 1 species